rnacentral:lncRNA from 11 species
UCAGCCGUCCCCUGCUCUUCGCAACCUUUGUCUUCUUUCUUCAUACACUUGGAGCAACAGAUGCUCUUCGGUGUCACUUAUGUGCAACCACGAAUCCAUCACAACCUUGUGAAUCACAACUGACUUGUGAAGACAACGGUGAAGAAGCAACAUGUACUUCCACCAAAUUCUAUCAGGAUAAAGAGCUACUUUUGACAACACGAGAUUGUAGAACAACCAAAGAAAAGUGUGGUACUACACAUUAUCAACCAAACACUAACUAUCAUGCUGAAAUCAGCUGUUGCAAUGAAGACCUUUGCAAUGCAUAAACCUAGAUGAGUCUGAAAAUCACCCAAAGAUCUGUACAUCCUUCCCUUUGUAGUUGCCUUCUUUCUAAUUCCCUUCCCUGGUUCUAUUAAGUGAGAUUAUGGCUAUCUAAAAUUAAAGCUUUCAACCAUGGCAAA